rnacentral:rRNA from 1 species
AUUGAACGCUGGCGGCAGGCCUAACACAUGCAAGUCGAACGAGUGGCGGACGGAUGAGUAAUGUCUAGGAAACUGCCUGAUGGAGAGGGAUCACUACUGGAAACGGUAACUAAUACCGCAUACCAUCAGAUGUGCCCAGAUGGGAUUAGCGAGUUGGUGGGGUAACGGCUCACCAAGGCGACGAUCCCUAGCUGAUCUUAGAGGAUGACCAGUCACACUGGAACUGUGACACGGUCCAGAUGCCUACGGGAGGCAGCAGUGGGGAAUAUUGGACAAUGGGCGAAAGCCUGAUCCAGCCAUGCCGCGUGUGUGAAGAAGGUCUUCGGAUUGUAAAGCACUUUAAGUUGGGAGGCGUUACCAACAGAAUAAGCACCGGCUAACUUCGUGCCAGCAGCCGCGGUAAUUC